AAAUUGGUCAAAGACAAAAGAGAACACCAGAGAACCAACUCAGCGAAGCAGUCAGUGAAUGGGAAAUAGACAAAUAUAUCGUUUUUAUAUUUACUUCUAAUGUGAUGUAGGCUAAGCAACAAACAUUUAUACCAUAAAUCAAUCCCCUUCAAUUAAUUUUUGUUUCGUGAAGCUCUACGCCAGAAGAACAGUGGGCAGUGGAUCAAACCCCUUCAACAGUGUUCAUUUAAAAGAGGAAACAAGCCCAUCUCAUCUGAACCUGAACAGGCUGUUAAUAUUCCUCUAUUACCUGGGUCUAUAGCCUCGGUCCCCAGGUGCUGCUGGGCCCCAUGCCAGCCAUCUGUUCCAGCAGGCACGGGGCCCGGCUGUGCGGGGCUCAUCUGCAGCUAAGGCCAGUGGCAGGUGAUCUCCCAUUGUGUAAUGGAUGAGGCCUUCCCGCUGGAAGAAAGGACAGCUGCCAGAGUGAUACUCAGAUUUAUUUAGAGAUGUUCAUUCCCACACAUUCUCCAGAGACUUGAAUGAUUUAACACACACCAAACAAUGUCUCCGGGGUUGCCUCUACAGUGAAGCACAGGCUAAUAUGAGCUGCAGCGCAAGCCUAGCUAGCUGUACCCAGUCAUCAUCCUGAAAGGAGGUUAAUGUGGUGUGGCUGUGAGCUACUUCCAGUUCCCCUGCCUCUCAUCCGCCUGCCUGCCUACUCACUGCCAUGUAAUUGUGUUAUUACGUCGUAGGAUUGUCAGAGGACUCCUGGGCCCCAGUGAAGAUGUCUGAGCACGGAGCAGCAGUGCCUGUGGAAGUUAACUUGACAUAUAAAUUGCUAUCUGACUACCGGGAGAUAGAUAAAUGCAUCUCGCCAGAAAACAGAUGCAGGGAGCAGUGACCUGACAUCGCUUUUGACAGACUCUAUGUCGUCUCUUUCGCUUCUCCCCUCAUUUUUUUUCUCUCACUCACUUGCUGUCUCUCUGUUCACUUGCUGUCUCUCUGUUCACUUUGUCAGCUGCUGUUUCUUCCUUUGAUAUCUUUACUACAAGAGUUUCCACUGACUGAAGAGUCUGAACCAUGUUUGCCAUGGGCUUACUGGGCUUUGUAGGAGUAGAGACAGGUUGGGGACAGUUGGUUAUGCAUUGUGGUGAAUUGACUCAUGUUGUUGAGGUCACAAGUCAGGUCACAAACGUCAUCAUGAAUAUUUAUGUCAAAUGCAUAUUGAAUUAGCCUGGUCUCUUUGUGCUGUUUUGCCAACGCAUAUGAUCGGACUAAGCUAAUGAUGUAUAACUUUCCCAGAUGCUUAGCAAUGACCUCGCAGUAAGAAAAGGAACCAUCAGCUUACAGUUACAUUGCAUUCAGAAAGUAUUCAGACCCCUUGACUUUUUCCACAUUUUGUUACAUUACAGCCUUAAUUCUAAAAUGUA